GUGCAUUACCCUGACUGGCUACCGAGUGUCAGUGUUGCUCCGUGAGGGAAAUUGUUGGUGCAUUACCUAGAGUGGCCACCGAGUGUCAUUGUUGUUGAUCUAUGAAGAUCUAAUGGGAGAGGGAGAAGAACCACCGACACAACAUUGCAGAUUCCAAUGAUAACUUUUGUUUUUCCCUCUUGUGUUGUGCUUCGUGUCAAGGGUAAGAGCCCACCCCUGUUGUGAGAUGGAAAGCGUACAAGAGCCAUGAGACACUGAACAUUGUUGAUGCCAGGCUACGGUGAUGCCGUCUAGCUGGAAGCAGAGCAGCCAUCGCUGUCAGUACGAUAAGUGUCUGGUUUGGUGAGGAGUCUGGUUACGGCGCACCUGGCUCCAGGCAGGGACAUGCCAUUAGCUAGGUCUGUGUUUGUAAGAAAAGGUUCCUGACUAGCUGUGGCUACGAGGGAGACAAGGCCCCCAUUAUCAGGGGCUGCUCAUCUGUCUGGCCAGGAGAGGUGUGUCCACUGCAGCAAAAGGUUGGAUCCAGGAGGAUGACUGUAGCUGAGGAAUCGUCGAGCAGCAGCUGCAGGAGAAGCUGGCAGAGGUUGACCUGAGCAGCCUGGACAUUCUUGUAAGCGAAGAUUAACAGUCCUCUGCUUUCUGCCUCCCGCAUAACUGACUAGGCCUGCUCCAGGCCAGUGCAGCAGCCCCAGACAGAGGAGGAGCAUGUGGAGGAAGUGGACCUGCACAAUCUAGACAUUUCACUUGCCAAUGGAGCUGAGGAGGUCUCUUGUGAUGUCGGAGGAGCAGUUCCUCAUGAGAUUGGGUAGAUGAGAGAAUGGCCAACCUGUGGCAGAGACCUAAGAAGGAGCAGCCACCCUGAGCCCAUCCCUAGGGAUCGAAGCCAGACAGUGAUCUGCAGACAGCAACAGCACCUAAAGAAACACAACUGGUGGAUGGGUCCUAGCCUGGAGGCCUCUAGAUAGUACAGACUGUGAAGAGCAUACAUUAUGCCCGUGAUGGAUCGUCUGCACCCCAGUCGGGGAUAUUUCUGAAAGAGAGGAGGAGGACCCAAGAAUAAGAGACAGCGACCUCAUCGUUAGCUGUCCUCCUCUGUCUGUACUCACGGCAACAAGAUCGCUUGACGGACAAUUGGAGCAUCACAGAACUGUGGGGAGGGCGGUUGUGGCUGGAAGUCUUUCCAGUUAGUAUGAACUGCUGUAAGCUGUUGGGUGAGAAAACUUUUGGCUUUGAAAUGGUAUUUAGCUUGGUGAUGUUUAGGAAUUGGUUACAAAAGAAAUAAAAUGUGUAA